rnacentral:rRNA from 1 species
AUGCAGGGCUUAGCCCUUGCGAUUCAACAUUCUCAUCUCCCGGUGGUGGUGCAAACGGACUCCUCGGAAGCGUUAUCAUGCUUGACUAAUGGUGCACUUCUUCGCUCGGCAUAUGGACAGAUUGUCUUGGAGAUCAAGGACCUUUUAGGUAGUAGGGAGUUUUUUCCUCAAAAGAUCACUAGAUUUCAGAAUAGAGUUGCUAAUCAAUUGGCUAAGUAUAGCCGCACUAAGCGUGCCACUGCUGUUUGGCUAGACUCGUUUCCACCUUGUAUCGAGGGCUUGUGGCCUCUUGACUGUAACUCUAUACCAUUCAAUAAACUCCCUUUACUCCGCAAAAAAAGAAGUACACGGUGGCACGCAAGGUACUCGACGUUUUCCCUGGCACUACCAACUGUGCCGAUCGAGGAGAAGCAUGACGCACACACACACAUUGACAGUGCUCGUCCCGGUCGUGCAAAUCCCGUCACCAUGCCCAUGCAGGGCAUGUCAAUGGUACCCAGGACAUGA